AUGGAGUGCAAGGGCGUGAAUACCCAGUCCCCCAAGCCCAAGGUUGUUUUCGUGCUUGGAGCCACGGCCACCGGAAAGUCCAAGCUCGCCAUCUCCCUCGCCAAGCGCUUCGGCGGCGAGGUCAUCAACUCCGACAAGAUCCAGGUGUACGACGGCGUGCCCAUACUCACCAACAAGGUCACCGAGGAGGAGAGCGCCGGCGUGCCGCACCACCUCCUCGGCGGCGUGCACCCCGACGCCGACUUCACCGCCGAGGACUUCCGCCGCGAGGCCGAGGCCGCCAUCUCGCGCGUCCUCUCCACGGGCCGCCUCCCCGUCGUCGCCGGCGGCUCCAACACCUACAUCGAGGCGUUGGUGGAGGCCGACGGCGCCGCGUUCCGCGGCGCCCACGACUGCCUCUUCCUCUGGCUCGACGCCGCGCCGGGGAUGAUGGAGUGGUACACCGGCCUGCGCGUCGACGACAUGCUGCGGCGCGGCCUGGUGGACGAGACGCGCGCCGCCUUCGAGGAGGGCGCCGACUACACACGCGGCGUGCGUCGCGCCAUCGGCCUCCCCGAGAUGCACGACUACCUGCGCGCGGAGCGGGAGGGCGCCGUCUUUGCGUCCAUGGCCGAGGGCUUGGGCGGCCACAAGGAGCGCGCCGUCCGCGAGAUCAAGGCCAACACGUUCGGCCUCGUCCUCCAGCAGGCGGCCAAGAUCCGCCGCCUCAGCAUGCUCGAAGGCUGGGACGUCCGCCGCGUCGACGCCACCGCCGUCUUUGCGUCCAUGGCCGAGGGCUUGGGCGGCCACAAAGAGGUCUGGGAGUCGGCCGUGUGGGAACCGUGCCAAGAGAUGGUGCGCCUUUUCCUCGACGUGGGAACCCCUACUUUCCAUUCUGCAUCUGCCACCCUGCCAACUGAUCUGGAGGUGGAUGAGGCCAUGGCUGGGCUUCCCCUCCAUGGUGUCCCUGUUAUCCCCGCUCCUGCAGUCGGCGACGAUCAUGGCAGUGUCGUCCUGCUGACCCCGCCAGCACUGCAGGGGCCUGUGAAUGGAGGAUCCUUAAACAACGGUGCUGCCGCCGUUGUACUCAAUGGCACCGACGUCGUCGUGGACAAGGAACCUGCCUGUGGUGCCGGCCACAGUGACGAGCAUCAUGGAAGCUAUGCUGGCAUUGCUGAGGCUGCUCCGGCUUAA
rnacentral:rRNA from 1 species